GAUGAAGAACGUAGCGAAAUGCGAUAAGUAGUGUGAAUUGCAGAAUUCAGUGAAUCAUCGAAUCUUUGAACGCACAUUGCGCCCCUUGGUAUCCCGAGGGGCAUGCCUGUUCGAGCGUCAUUUCACCACUCAAGCCUGGCUUGGUGUUGGGCGACGUCCCCUUUGGGGACGCGCCUCGAAACGCUCGGCGGCGUGGCACCGGCUUUAAGCGUAGCAGAAUCUUUCGCUUUGGAAGUCGGGGCCCCGUCUGCCGGAAGACCUACUCGCAAGGUUGACCUCGGAUCAGGCAGGGAUACCCGCUGAACUUAUGCAUAUCAAUAAGCGGAGGA
rnacentral:misc_RNA from 1 species